ensembl:snoRNA
CCUGCCCCUAGAGGCCUGCACGUGUGGCUUCUCUGUCACCUGUGCUUCAGUGUGUGGCAGAGAGGAAAGAGGUUCUCUGUGCUCAGAUGUCUGACAUGUGAACAUCUGAAUGAUUAGUAGUCUGACGUA